UUAAGAUAGUAAGAGCAUACGGUGGAUGCCUUGGCGAUAUCUGCCGAUGAAGGACGCGACAAGCUGCGAAAAGCUGCGGUGAGGUGCAAAUGACCUUUGACCCGCAGAUGUCCGAAUGGAGCAAUCCGGCUGUGGUUAUGCACAGUCACCCAUGCCUGUGAGUAUGGGAGGGAACCAGGCGAACUGAAACAUCUAAGUAGCCUGAGGAGAAGUAAUCAAACGAGAUACCCCCAGUAGCGGCGAGCGAACGGGGCAGAAGCCCAAACCGCAGAAGGAAACUUUUACGGGGUUGAGGGCCGUCAUACGAACGUGGAAUCCAGCUGAAGCUUCUGGGAAGGAGCGCCGCAGGAUGUGAAAGCCAUGUAAGCGAAAGAGGAAGCGGAACAGACGGUACCAGAGUACCGCGGGACACGAGAAACCCCGUGGGAAGCAGGGGGGACCACCCUCCAAGGCAAAACACAGAUAUCGACCGAUAGCGCAUAGUACCAUGAGGGAAAGGUGAAAAGCACCCCGGGAGGGGAAUGAAACAGAACCUGAAACCGUAUGUUUACAAGCAGUCGGAGACCGUAUAUAUAUCAGGUCGACGGCGUGCCUAUUGAAGAAUGAACCGGCGAGUUAUGAGGUCCAGCGAGGUUAAGCAGGAAAUGCGGAGCCGAAGCGAAAGCGAGUCUUAACAGGGCGAAUAGUUGGACUGCAUAGACCCGAAACCACAGUGAUCUACCCAUGUCCAGGUUGAAGCACAGGUAAAAAUGUGUGGAGGACCGAACCUAUAUCCGUUGAAAAGGGUUAGGAUGAGGUGUGGGUAGGGGUGAAAUUCCAAUCGAACGUGGAGAUAGCUGGUUCUCCCCGAAAUAGCUUUAGGGCUAGCCUCAGGGUAAAGAUUGCAGGCGGUAGAGCACUGAUCAGGAGAGGGACCUACCCGGUUACCAAACCCAGUCAAACUACGAAUGGCUGCAAUUAUACCUGGGAGUCAGACUACGACUUAUAAGGGCCGUGGUCAAAAGGGAAACAGCCCAGAUCAUCAGCUAAGGUCCCAAAUGCCGUGCUAAGUGGCGAAGGAUGUGGCGUUUCAUAAACAACCAGGAUGUUGGCUCAGAAGCAGCCACCAUUUAAAGAGUGCGUAAUAGCUCACUGGUCGAGAGACGCUGCGCCGAAAAUGUCCGGGGCUCAAGCACGGAACCGAAGCUAUGGCAUUGCGUAAGCAAUGGGUAGGGGAGCGUUCUUAUGGGGAAGAAGCAUUACCGUAAGGAGAUGUGGACACAUAAGAAGUGAGAAUGCCGGUAUGAGUAUCGAAAAGAAAGGUGAGAAUCCUUUCCACCGAAAGCCCGAGGGUUCCUGAGCAACGAUCGUCGUCUCAGGGUAAGUCGGGACCUAAGCCGAGGCACAGACGCAUAGGCGAUGGACAACAGGUUGAAAUUCCUGUACCGGAUGGAGUCAUUUGAGCAAUGGAGUGACGCAGGAGGGCACAUGAUCGCGCGACUGGAAGAGCGCGUCCAAGUGCGUAUGUUGAAUCGGAGGCAAAUCCCCGAUUCUGAAAGCAGAGACAUGAUGGGGAGUUAUAAGCGAUUAUGACGAACUCAUGGAUCCCACACUGCCAAGAAAAACUUCUAGCGAGACGAAAUCCGCCCGUACCGUAAACCGACACAGGUAGGCGGGGAGAGAAUCCUAAGGUGCGCGGGAAAACCCUCGUUAAGGAACUCGGCAAAUUGCAUCCGUAACUUCGGGAGAAGGAUGGCCCUGAGUAGGCGAAGUGCAGAAACGCACGGAACAGAAAAGGGUGGCAGAAAAGAGGCCCAAGCAACUGUUUACCAAAAACACAGGUGCCUGCGAAAGCGAAAGCUGAAGUAUAGGUGCUGACGCCUGCCCGGUGCUGGAAGGUUAAGGAGAGAGGUUAGCGCAAGCGAAGCUUUGAACUGAAGCCCCAGUGAACGGCGGCCGUAACUAUAACGGUCCUAAGGUAGCGAAAUUCCUUGUCGGGUAAG
rnacentral:rRNA from 1 species